rnacentral:lncRNA from 1 species
GCCGCGACGGCUUUUCCUUCCGAGCCAUUGGUUCUAUAAUUUUGAGCAACAAUGCUAAUAUUCAACUGACUAUUUUAUUUUGGUUUAGUUUGGUUGAUUUUUUUUUUUGGCAAACUGCGUGUAGAACCAAAUUUAAAUUUGUUUUCACAAAACAAAACAAAAAUUCCGUGGAUAGUACAUGUGUUACAGUACCAGUCCUUAUUCUGCCUCUGUGUCCAUCCUAUUUUACUAUUAAACCUCACUGUAUUUAUAACAUUGUAUUGACAAAAGUGAGUAAACUGUCAAAUGUCAGAUUUCACGAUACCCAUGUCCAGCAAUGCAGAGUAUGAGUUUUUAAAGUAUCUUAUAUAUUGGCUUAAAUUCAGCAAACUCACGAUAUUUUUUUCAAACAUAAAUGGCAUUUAUUCAGCACCUAUUAAUGUGGCUCAAUGAGCAUACUACCUUACACAACAAUAGCAGAAAACAAUAGAACAUUAUAUUUGUGACAAUGUAUAUAUAUUUUAUGAGUGUAUAUAAAAUUGAUUAACUUGAUUUUCUAAUCUUAUAUGUCUUAUAUUUGUAGUUGAUGUUAUGUGGCUUUGGGGUCAAAGCCAAUUAAGGCAGAGGGGAGAUGUUAUAGAUAUAUUUUGAAAUUCCGAAUUUGCAAAAUAAGAAAUAUAACAGCUUUGCAAACUUUCUUUUAUUAAAUAUUUUAUUUUUUAUUCUCAAAAUGAAUUUGUAAAAGUGGACAAUUUAGAAGAAAAUAGAUUUUACAGAUAUUUGACAAAUAUUGAUAAUUAU